UGUUUCAGAACCUCUGUGAUGGUCAAAGAAGCAUGCAAGGCUCCAGGGGAAAGAGGAUAAAGGGAUGAAUAAGACGAUGAGAUCUGGAGAAGGAGGAACACAGGCCCUGCAGCUUGCUGGCGAUGGCAUCCUCAUACUUCAAGCCUGCACCUCUUAUCCAGGGAAGACCCAGCUCCAUUCAGCACAUCAUUCCUGUUGUUGCUUUCCAUAGACACUAUGGAGAAAAGACUCACUCUACCUGUGGCUGCUUCCCUCACUGAACAGAAGGUCUAUUCAGAGAUAAUUGGAGGCAUCACCAGCCCCAACUCAUCCAGAGUUAGUACACAUGGACCCCAGGACUACAGGUGAAAGAAGGAAAAGGAAACCUCCCUGACCACCUCCCUGUACGGUGGGACUUAACAGUGCUCAGGUGAACCCUGGGCUCGUCCGCCUUCCCCACCGACUGGAGUGUGACCAAGGUCAGAGUCCGCCGUGCUCAGUCCAAGUGCCUGGAUGAAACAGAUAGUUCCAGUUGUCACAAAGUUUUUCUGGAGUGUGUCACCUCCCUGGAACCUACGACAGCUUCAGCGUGGAGUUGGGGUGUCCCAGCUCCUCAGCCCAACUCAUAUGAAUGAAACAAGAGGAGAAUCCCAGACCUGCAAGCAAGUCCACCAGUAGCCCAGACACAUCCUCCUAGAGAAGCAGGGAAGGAAGUAUCUUUCAGCUCUGUCUAAUUACAAGCGUCGGCAUCACACGGACAGGGACGUUAAUAGGGAAGUCAUGUUUUCCUAAUUAAGCCCGGUUUGAUUCCUGCUCACUGUUGCGACGUCAGCCUUCUGAGCUUCCUCCUAGGUUCCCUGAAGCUAACCCAGAGAGGGGUAGACAGCCACUUGAACACAGACAUACGUGUCAAGAGCUUGAGCCCGAGACAUCGCCCUUGACUCGGAAGUCUAGGUGCAUCCCUGUGAGGAGGGAGUAACACUGAGCUGUGGGUUGAGCUGGGAGCUGUGUGUGACUAGGAACAAGGAGACAUGCUCAUUUAUCCAUCUGAGGAUGAGUUUUGUUUUGACGUUCUAUCCUGUUCUCUUCCAGCCCUCACCCACUGCUUGGUUGCGUUCUUUCUCCCCUGGCCCUUCGCCUACCCUGGUAUAUCUUGGUGCUGGCGCCACCAGAUUUCAUAUACUCACUGUAUCUAUUUUCUAUAACUGUCUGCCUUGUGGACGGACAGGGCUCCGCAUUCGCCUUUGUAUCCACUCGCUGCCUCGCAGGCUACCUUGAGUACAUAUUCCUAGUGAGUGAGGAAUUUCUGAAUAAAGGGGAUUCAUGCUACCAUGGUAUAGCCCUCUCUGUGUGAACGCAGAGCUGGCCUGAGGUGGCAGAAUCCUGUGUGAGGGUAACACCUGUGAGUAGACAUAUAGCAAGAGGGAGUGGAUGCCGUGUGGCUGGUGGAGAACUCUCCCCCUCUGCUAAGGCGUUUGACAUUCACGUGUGCAUCUUUUUAAAACCCUGCUAGCCAAGCAAGCUUGUCUGAGACUGUGUGCUUCCUGCUACAGGCGGAACCUCCACCCUCCAACUCUAGGCAAAGGUGGCAUUGUCUAAAAUUUUCCAUUAACAGCAAGGUCAGUAGGAUAGGGUGAACAUGGACUUGGCAGAUCAGAGCAUUGGCCUUGCCUCUCCCAUGACAAGCUGUGAGAACCCCAGAAACGGCAUUUCAGGUAUUUGCACCUGAGUUUUCACAGAAGUGAAAUGAGAGCACGAAUGACAAGAUGAAGCAGGUUAAGAAGGUAGAAGUUACCAGAGGAAGCAAACAUGAGGGUUCAUUGUAGGACCUGCCCUUGCAUCAUUGAGGACCAGUCGGGGUAGGGUGUCAUUGCCUAUUCCCAUGGGACCUUGCCACCUGUCCCUCUGUUGAUGAUCUAGGAACCAAGUAGAAAACAUCUUUUCUGAAUGAGGCUGACAGUUCACCAGGCAUGAAAACCUACCCAGUUGUGACUCAGAGUUUUGGAGGCACAGAUAGAAUUAAGGAAAUGUUAAUGUAUUCCUAUGGUUUUGCCUCCUGCCUACACAGGCAGAAACAGCAAGGAGGGAGGCUGGAGUGGAAGAGGGGAC